UAAUUUUUUUUUUGUUGCUAAUUUAGCAGUAACUAAUAUUGAUAAUGCAGGAAUGGGAGAAAAGGUUCCGUGAGCAUGUCAAACUCAAACUCUCUUUAUUUCAACUGGUAAAGAAGCAAACGUCUAUCAUGCUACAAAAUCUGAUGGUCAGGAAUCUGCGAUCAAAGUGUACGAAACUUCUGUACUUGUAUUUAAGUAUGCGUGGCAGUGGCAAUCCUCUGUCUUGUAAUCAUAUUUGAUAAUUGAGAGUGUAGUUGCAGAAUACUAGGGAUAUCAAAAACACCAGCAAACAAUAUAACCUGACCACACAGCACUUUGGUCUUGAUAUUCUUGAACAUUUCCGCGACAGAGAUAGGUAUGUAAAGGGAGACUACCAUUUCAGAUAUGGAUACUGCCAGCACAAUCCAAAAAACUUUGCAGAGUAUCAAGCUAAUAAGGUUCAGUCUUGCUUAAGGUUCUAAAUAAGUUAUAGAUUUAUAGAUUGCUUUUAUUUUGUUUCAAUCCUUAAUCCCUUGUAUUGCCUUAGUAUCAUGUACUGUGGAAAACUUUGCUUUGGAUUGAUUAAAUUUGCAGAGAUAUCAUAUAGAAAUAGAAAUGCUUAUAGUCUUUUAAUUUCA